UGACGCCAAAGCACCCGAUGCUCAAAUGGGAAUGGAAAAAGCACUGACCGCCCUGGCUUGUGGUUUAGCUGGUGGAAACAUGGUCUAUGAAU
rnacentral:ncRNA from 1 species